AAAGAAAACACGCUGCUGAGUCUUAAUGAGUCCGCACAUACUUUUUCAGAAUUGCUUAUACUUUAGUUGCGACACAGGUCACUGAAAUUCCCCAUGGUCGCAAUGUGGAACCAGAGAUAUGUUGGAGCAAAUUUGGGGGGCAGAAAGCUCUUUCAUUCAAAGGGAUUCAUUUAAUUUCAACUCUGCUAAUUUCAAGUCUCCUCAGAAUCUCUCAUCUUUUCUUUUACUUUUUCCCAGUUUGCCUGCUUUCCCUUUGAUUCUAUUGGGCAUAUUGAAAUCUUCUCAUGUGGCCAGCAUCCUCUCUGUUACAUUGGACAACAAAACAUUGAGUUAAAUACAAGGAGCUUGUAAGGGGAAAAAGAAGAAACACAGCUGAAAAUGAAACAAGGGGCUUCUCUAGCUAUAACAACCUGGUGGAAAACUGUGAUAUGCUAUAUGUUGCAUAUUGCAUGCAUCUCUGGCACAAGCAACUCAAAAAAACCCCAACAAAACUAAAAGCACUCUGGACAGACAUGAUCAAAAUUGCUAUGGAAAUGUUCCCAUAUGAACUGAGACAAAAAGUUUAAAAUUAUUCAGGAAAAAAUGAACAAGGGAGGAAAUGCUGGAAGCCAAGAAAAUAAUAAAUUAUACAGAUGAACUGGGUCAUUUUGCUUGCUCCCUUCAACUUUGUAAGAACAAUAAAGUUCCCUGAAACUACCUAAUGAUCUUUCUCAAAGAGAUAAAGGGGAGUGAAAAUGACACACCAGGUGCUUCUUAUUCUCACAAGACAAUAUCCUAAGAAAAAAAAGAUAUUUCACAGAGCUGUAAUCAACUUGCAUCAUCAGGAGAAAUACUCUGGCUUGGUAUGAAGAGUCCACUGCUGUCUUUUCUUACUAUCUUCUCUAAAUACGUAAAUAUGUGAGCAAAUUCAGCAAAGCCUUUUAGUUUUAAGAAUGCUCGACAGCUUUGUGUGGGUCUAUUGGCUGAAAAAAGCAAAUCUUUCAAAGGAACAUCACAAAGUAAGCUCUUUUCAACCCAAAUCAUUAUUAAGACAUUCAGUUUGUUGUCAGUUGGUAUCACGGAAACCGUAGCUCCAUGAAAGGGAAAGACAUCAGUGAAGAUAACAAGAACACAUAUGAUGACCACACCAAGGGCCUUGGUAAGGCAGAGGACACCUUAGCAGCUGUUCCUUUUCACAAUGUCUGCUAGUAGCUGUAGUUUUCUAAUUAGGUGGGAUAUCCUGGUUUAACUUAGAUGGCUCUAUGUUUAGAGAGAUUCAACCCUCAAAUUUGUUCUUCAUAUUGAGGUAAGAGGGCACGGCAUAAAGGAUACCUCAUAUGAUCAAAUCUUUCUCUGAUAAUUUUAUUUGAUCAGGGAAAGCAAUGCAACGAGUACACAUCAUGACGUAGCCCACAAACGUAACUCAGUUUUGCUCUAUUUAUACAGUUAUGCUUAACAGGGAAAACUUUUAUAUUAGGGAUCCAAAGUUACAGAGCCUUGGCCAGCGGCUAAAAGAAAACAGUAAUUUGCUAAGAAGCCUAUACUUGUUCUAAAUCAAGUGCCUUCACUUGUGUCUUGUAUCAUAUGUGCUUUGUAUGGAUGUAAUUUAUUUUAAGGUAACUUAUUUUAAAAUAUCCAUGCCAAGUGUUUGUGUGAGUGAAUGAGAAUGUGCAUUGUAUAUCCAAGUAAGAACAAAAUGUUGUGAGAAAGGCUGAUUUGAAGUUAUUUCUUAUCCCAGUAAAAUGAGGGAUGCUAUAAGCCUGCUUUUUAUUUCAAGAUGUCCUGCUGUUUAGGUUAGAUCCUAUGUCAAGUCAGUAAGAAUUCUCCCUUUAACUUCAAGAAGAUCAAGAUUGGGGCAGCCACUGUAGUCUUAAUAAAUGUAAAUCUUAUUAGAAAUACCUUCUUUUAUAACAAGUGCCAAGCUGUGCAAAGCUGCAGGCUACAUUACCUUACAACAUUGACUGAAAUGGCAGAAGAGGUUACCAUCCACACUAAUGAAUUUUUUUAAUUACUCUUUGCAAAGAGGGUGGUACAAAAACUCUAGUGAGAAGCAAAUUAAUCCUUGAAUUGAAAUACACUAGUAAGGCUUAAAUAAUAUUAAAAAAAUUAUUUUCUGGUCAGCACUGUUCCUAAAUCAGUCUAGAAUAUGGCAGAUCUUUUUUCUCUUAUCAGUCACUGAGUUUUGGGAACAGAGCUGGUUACUCUUUUGGAGGACAUCUACUUACCCAUUACAGACAGUGGCAUAGACGUCAGAAAUGAAAGCUUCCCCACGCUAUCAACUCUGCUUACCACCCCACUAGCUAGGGAUACGGUGACGAAAGAGAAGUGUAAGGGGAUUUUGGGUGCUAAGGACCAUUCCAGCGGUCUUUAACUUCACCUUCCCUUGAGCUGUUACUGAGAAGUUAAGCUGCCAAGGGCCACUACAUGCUUUAGUUUUCCUGCUGGCCUCAACAGAUGUGUAUCUAUAGAAGUGGAUGCUAGGAUCAGACGCCCAGUAAAGGGGCUCAAGCACAGUAAACUGUGCGAGCUAUGAGCUGGAGACUAUGGGCUCAUUCAGUCUUACGCCUGCCUUGUGAGAUGCUGUGGGGUCAAAGUGAUCACCCAUAUAAAUGGCUUUCCAGACUGAUGGUGCCCAUUCCCGAACAAGCGGCUAGCUGCUGGGAAGGUCAUUGUGUGCAGACUUUUACUGGCAGAAAAAAUGGUGAGAACUGAGCCAGAGGAACAUGGCUUUCUACCAGCCUUCCAAUAGACAUAUCCUGGCAAAUUCAAGUAUGCCCGGUUCCUUUACAAAGAAUGGGUGGCCGGCUGGGAGACAGAUUUUUGCUAGGGAGAUAUAAUAAAGAGGGGUUUUACAGUCAAAUGUGGAAGUUAAUAUGAUGUUUUCUUUUUUAACAAAAAGGCAAGUGAGCCAAUGCAGGUUAAUCAAGAAUGAGCCUCAUUUUUUCCCAAAUGUGAAAUUAAUUCAUAUUGGAAUUUUUAAGGUUUUAAUUUAAUUUCUUUAUUUGAAUUUCUGCAUUUUCUGGUGAUAGAAACAAAUAUGGAUGCAAAGUUCCUUAAUUAUUUACAAUCUGGUUAGAAUAAACAGGUAUCUAUUUUCAUUUACCUUCUGUGAAAACAUUUUGAGUUAACCAAGAAGUCUUUGAAGUCUCUAAUCUGUUUUCUAAAGAAAAAAAUGUUAAUUCAGCUGACUUGCUGCAAGCUACCACUCAUGCAUGCAAGAGCAGGAAAUGCUCCAGUAUGUUACAAAAAUAUACUAAAUAUAUGACUAAACCCAACCACUACUUAGGUAAUUGGUUCAGCCAUGACAGGUUCUCAGUUUUUUUCCACGCUCCUAUUACAUACAACAGAGUACUUUUCUUGUCCAGGCCUGAACAAUAAUCAGGUACAGCUCAUCAGUGAAAUCACAGGCAACCCCUAGAACCAUAAUAAGACAGUAACAAAAGCAGAAUAAAUCCACGGGGAAAUAUUUUCUCCUCUUUUAGUUCCAUUAAAAAAUACAUAUUUAAAGCAGAUUGCAUGUCUCCAGAAAGGAUGCACCUGAUUCAAACAUCAGAUCAAAAAACUUUGUUUUGGGAAGGUUUGGAUAUUUUAUUUGCAUUCAGUUGUCCCUUUUUCUGCCAUAGCCCCAGAUGGUCUCCUUGACCUAAGGAUGGCCACACAGAAAGCGGGCCAGGGAAGAUCAGAACAGGAUCCACUCCUCAAGUCUGGGCUGAGCCCACAGCACCACUUUUGUGGAGGGUGACUGGAGCCUAAUGCCAGAAG